rnacentral:rRNA from 1 species
AACGAACGCUGGCGGCAUGCCUAACACAUGCAAGUCGAACGAGACCUUCGGGUCUAGUGGCGCACGGGUGCGUAACGCGUGGGAAUCUGCCCUUAGGUUCGGAAUAACUUCGGGAAACUGAAGCUAAUACCGGAUGAUGACGUAAGUCCAAAGAUUUAUCGCCUAAGGAUGAGCCCGCGUUGGAUUAGCUAGUUGGUGAGGUAAAGGCUCACCAAGGCGACGAUCCAUAGCUGGUCUGAGAGGAUGAUCAGCCACACUGGGACUGAGACACGGCCCAGACUCCUACGGGAGGCAGCAGUGGGGAAUUUUUGGACAAUGGGCGCAAGCCUGAUCCAGCAAUGCCGCGUGCAGGAUGAAGGCC